UAGUUAAAAUAAAGUUGGGCCCAAUAAACUGGUAGAUCAAAGGCCUGUUGAGCGCUCAUGCCCGGUGUGAUUUUAACAAUUGACUCCAAAUGCGUUGACAAGAAAAUAAGUAAAACUGUUAUUGAAUGUGAUUGGUUGAUAAAAUCAACGUACUAUAGGCUACAUUUUGUCUGCGAUAUCAUCUCGGUGGAAGCGGACAUUAAAUGAAGUGAUUUCACACAAUUAAUUUAACAUUUAACAACGUGCUGAAAUGAUUUUGGAGCAGUGAUAUGUUUGACAAAUGUAAGCUAAUGGUCACAUAGAAUACAAGACCGCAGAAUCACAUUAUGAUUAAAGCAGAAACGGUUCGACUUGAACCAGCAGACGGAAGAUAUGGACGAACAACAAGAAGAAGUUAUGGAGGUCCCAACAACUGAACCUAUGGAAGUAGAAGAAUCGUUUACAGCCGAAACCCGAUACGAUGUGCCAGUUCCGGUUAUGGAGUCCUCCAUCUCAGACGAUGCCGACGUUAGUGUCUUCUGCGACGAAGAACCCGUAGUGGUGUAUCACUAUAAACCUCAGAAUGCCUCGUUCGGCAUUUCUGUCCAAACGAGGCAAAAACGUGUCAAAAUUUUUG